rnacentral:rRNA from 1 species
AUUGAACGCUGGCGGCAGGCCUAACACAUGCCAGUCGAGCGGAUGAAGGGAGCUUGCUCCUGGAUUCAGCGGCGGACGGGUGAGUAAUGCCUAGGAAUCUGCCUGGUAGUGGGGGAUAACGUCCGGAAACGGGCGCUAAUACCGCAUACGUCCUGAGGGAGAAAGUGGGGGAUCUUCGGACCUCACGCUAUCAGAUGAGCCUAGGUCGGAUUAGCUAGUUGGUGGGGUAAAGGCCUACCAAGGCGACGAUCCGUAACUGGUCUGAGAGGAUGAUCAAUCACACUGGAACUGAGACACGGUCCAGACUCCUACGGGAGGCAGCAGUGGGGAAUAUUGGACAAUGGGCGAAAGCCUGAUCCAGCCAUGCCGCGUGUGUGAAGAAGGUCUUCGGAUUGUAAAGCACUUUAAGUUGGGAGGAAGGGCAGUAAGUUAAUACCUUGCUGUUUUGACGUUACCAACAGAAUAAGCACCGGCUAACUUCGUG